UUGAAAGGGAAACGAUUGAAGUCAGUCGUACCGGCGGGUAAUCAGCCUUUUGGGCGUGAUUAUGUGGAGCGUGAGGAGUUAAUCACCCUCAUCUUUGCAUAUUCGUGCACUUUGGGUGUACUUGCUCGUGUGGUAGGUUAACAUCAAUUUUGAUCGUCAUAAAAUGAUUGGGGGAAUAUAGCUUCGAUCUCGUAUUGAAGUGUUAUAGCCUUCGGUAGAUGUGAUGAUUGGGAUUGAGGAUUGCAACGGAUACCCUUCGGGGCUACCUGUCUGAUCUCUGAAAGUUGCUCUGGUGCUGAAAGCUUGCUUACGGUAUCAAAGUUGACGUUCAACAGGUUAGAACGGGAUAAAUUCGUUAAGGAUGUUGACGUA
rnacentral:rRNA from 1 species